rnacentral:ncRNA from 2 species
ACUACAUGUAGGGUCUGCGUCGUCGAUGCGACAAGGGAACCCGGUGCGAGUCCGGGACUGCCCCGCAGCGGUGAGCGGGAACGACCGCCGUCAUUGAAGCACUGGGCGCGAGCCUGGGAAGCGACGGCCAGUAGGUCCGGGUUGACGCCCGGGUGCCCGCGAGUCCGAAGACCUGUCGCCGACGCGUGCGCCGG